GUUGUUGUUUUUUUCUGUUUUGUUUAUUUUUGUUCGCUUUUUUAAAGACCUAUAUUUCCAAUAUGCCUUUUAUUUCUUUGGAUUUUUUCCAAUAAUUCACUCAAAAUAAAUGCCAAAAUUUAACAUACUUGGUUAAUUUUAUUGGAUCUUUACAAGACGUGUUCUCUCAAUACAUGCCGUGUUUUUAUCUUCCGGUCGUGCAAUUUUAUAUAUAUAUAUAUAUAUAUAUAUAUAUAUAUAUAUAUAUAUAUAUAUAUAUAUAUAAGCAUACAAUGAAAUUAAAAGGUAUAUUCUAGAGUUAUGCAGUGUUAUGAGUUGUCCAACCUCAUAGCCUUCCACUAGGUGGCUGUAUGUACAUCCGAAGUUGCUUGCAAUCCAUUAAUAAUGAUAAGAAGAAGUUAGGGUUGGCCCUAAUCUUAUUUUUAAUUUAAAAAAUUAAAAAUAAAAAUACGGAUGGAUUUGCUCAUAUGAUUAUAUGAAAAUCUGUGUUUGUACCAUAUGAAAAUGUUUAAUAUUUGUAUUAGUAGUAAUAAUAAUAAAUUACGGAUUGCACCCGACAAAACAUUAGAGAAGAAGAAGAAGAAGCUUACGUCAUUCGACGCGACACUUUCCACGGUCGGAGCUGGUGAGUAGCCCCUGAAUCUGUCAAAUAAAAAUGUAGUAAAAAACCUCAAAAGACCGAAAGUCUACAUUUAUAAAUCUGCUGAUGGUAGUUCUAUGAGUUAAUGUUAGCGAGUAUGUGGCACAGCAUGUGUUUGUACAGAUUUAGACACGUUUUUAACCCUAUUUGGUAGAAAAAAAAAGCUCGCUAAAGUAGCCUCUUAAAAGCCAGUCACAUUCAAAUGUAGCUGUCCUUCAUACCUUUAAUAACAAUGUGCUAAAAUUUUGUUUUUUUUAUUAUUAUUUUAUGCUUCUCGGUGUUACAGUAUUUCUGUCUUCUUUCUGUUCUCUCCCACUUUAGAACCAUGCCUAAAUAUAAGAGCAGUGUCCGUUGUAAGACCAAAAAAAUAAAAGUAACUCGGAAAACCAUCGGUGCUCGGGCGAAAUUUUCCUACAUUCCCUCACAUGCAGGCUCAUCUGACACCAACACUGUUUUUCCCUCAUCACAUGAUAUUUGUACUGAAAACUCAAAGGAAGAAGGGACCGCGUAUACCAGGGCAAAAAGGAAGGAGCUGAGCCUAUGGGAUACACUAAAAGAUCAGGUCUUGGAAGAGUCCUAUAAGUCCUCCGCUCCUUUCUCUGACAUGUGCUCUGUGUGCAAGAAACCUGGAGUAUACCGCUGUCUGGAAUGCAGCAGAAGCAGUGUUUUUUGCAAGGAUUGUGUCUACACAGUACACAUAAAUUCUUUGCACCUCCCUGAAAAGUGGAAUAAAACCUGCUAUGAGGCUGCUUUCCAGCAGUUGGUGUUGCAUUUAAGUGGGGAUCACAGCACCCAUGUUGUUUACUCCAGAGAUGUAAAGACUUUUGUCAACACAGGUCAUCUCAUUAAUUGCACAGUUUCUUUUUGUAAAUGCGAACCUGAGGUCUGCACUCUUCUGAAGUAUGGCCUUUGGCCUGCUUCACCGGAGAAGCCACAGGCUGCUUUUUCAAUGGCUCUUCUUGAGCUAUUUGUCCAUCUUUCUUUGGAGUGCCAGGUCUCUGUAGAGGGAUUCAUCAACACCUUACGGUGGAAAAACAAUCUUACUGUUAUGGAGGUUAAUAUGCUGUACAGAGCCCUAGUAGGAGAGUCUAUUUCCCAGUUUCGCCAUUAUCACUUCCGACGAAGAGAUUGUUCCAAGAUGGAAGAGGAACUAUGUGAUGAAGCUGACCGAAAUCAACCAGCUCAGAUCCGGAUCACAUAAACAGGAGUCACUCAUUGAAGAUGAAUCACAGCUGGACAGGGAUCUUCGAAUAAUUGAGAGACACCAUGGUGUAAAACGAAGGUGGCUCCCUUCGGAUGACAUUUUCCAGAGAACACUGAGAGAUGUUAACCAGGAACUUAGAGGUCAGCUGAUACGACGAGCACAAAAUGAAGCAAGGGAGAGGGCCACUCUUCUCAACCUGAAAAGAAGAUAUAAUGAUGGACAGGGAGUUGCUAUAAGGCUGUCCAAGCAAGUGAAUGCCUGUAACAGGAAACUGGAGAAGAUUGUUACAAUAAUCUGCAGUGGCCUCCAUAAACUGGCAUCUUUCCAUCACAUUUAGAAUUUCGAGAAUUGUGUGAUGCCUCCUCCCAGCUGUACACAUUGUUUGAUGAACAAAUUGAAGAUCAUGGUGUUGUUCCAAAGAACCUAAAAAGUCGAGCAAUAGAAGCCCUGCAUUUGAAGACUAGAGCAGCUGAAGAAAAGCUUCUACUUAAGAGAGAGAUGAACACUGUCAUUCUUCACCUUCAUCAACAACAUGGACAUUUAAGUUCAGCUAUAAAUGAUACUGCAGAUCCUGGUUCAAAAGCUGUACUUCAUCAAAACAUUAUCAUGUUAGAAAAGAAAAUGUACAGUGCAAUGAACAUGUUCAAGAGGUUUAUCGAAGUUGGUGCCCCUCCUCCAAAUCAUCACCUACCAGAGUUUAACUCUUAUUCUCAAGCACUUAUGUCUCCAGAUCUACAUUACAUAGACUAUGAUGAAAGCAUUGACGAUGGAGAGGAUGAAGAGGAUGAUGACGACAAUGUUGACGAAGGAGAGAACAGCAUAGAUUGUGAAUCAUCUUCAUGAUUUAUGGCCACUUACUGUCCUAUGUGAAGAGCACAUAUUCCAGUAUAAAAAGUGCAUUGUUUGAUGAUUUUCAUAUAAGCUUUUUGUUCUAACAUCUCAGUUUAUUGCUUUUGAUAUUGUUGAGACAUAUCUGUUUUUUAAGUCAAGCUAUAUAUAAUCAAGGGCAUUUUAGUUUUACUCAUUACAGCUUUGUACUCUUUUUCACAUUUAUUAAUGUUCUUGUUCAGUAUGACAUUGUUAAUGACUAAACUUCAUUUACAGUUUGAAUUUAACUCUUAAUUUUGAGAUGCUGCAUAAUGUGCUUUACAUAAUAUCUUUAAAUUUGGGCACAACAACAAAAUAACUAAAACGUAGUGGACAAAAAUUUUGUGAUGUUCAUAUUUGAGAAAUAUUUGACUGUUAUCCAAGAAUUACAUUAUUUUGAAGGGCACUACUCUGUAUUAAAAAUUCAUUAAGAGCUA